AGGGAUGGUAUUGUCAUACCCGCUCCCUACCCGAUUCGCGGCCAUCCCUAGUGUCGUUGUAUAGUCCAUCAAAGACAAGGACUUCAAGUAUGUUCACACAACACGCUUGUUUGUACUAUACCUUAUUAGCCACUCAUGCCAUGACAUGUAGAACGGGCCUGACACCAAGCAGGCCCUCAUAGCCCAUGCUGGCAAGCCUAGCCUUAUAAUCGG
rnacentral:lncRNA from 1 species